UACGGAGGGGGGCUAGCGUUGUUCGGAAUUACUGGGCGUAAAGGGCGCGCAGGCGGCUGCUCAAGUCAGGCGUGAAAAGGCCUGGGCUCAACCCCGGGAAUUGCGCUUGAGACUGGGCUGGCUUGAGUGCGGGAGAGGAUGGUGGAAUUCCCAGUGUAGAGGUGAAAAUUCGUAGAUAUUGGGAAGAACACCGGUGGCGAAGGCGGCCAUCUGGACCGCAACUGACGCUGAGGCGCGAAAGCGUGGGGGAGCAAACAGG
rnacentral:rRNA from 1 species